rfam:Pan troglodytes isolate Yerkes chimp pedigree #C0471 (Clint) chromosome 18, whole genome shotgun sequence.
GCCGGGUGUGGUGGCUCAUGCCUGUAAUCCCAGCACUUUUGGGAGGCUGAGGCGGGUGGAUCACCAGAGGUCAGGAGUUCGAGACCAGCCUGACCAACAUGGAGAAACCCCGUCUCUA